CUUCAAAGUUUUUGGACAGACAUUCAGUAUGACUCAUCUGGGAGGAAUUUAAAGUGGGAAGCUGGAGGAGAGAGAAAGCAAGAGACUGUGUUGAGGUGGCAGCUUUUGCUGGACUCACCUUUUUCAAGCAAUUCUUCAUCCGUGGCUGUGUAUUUUGGACAGUAGAUCAUUUAGAAGACUGAUCACCGCUUGGAAGGAGCUGUGAUAUCGAAUUUGUGUUCUUACUCUGCACUCUGGAAUGGGGCCGUGCUCUCUCAUCCUGGCUCUCUGGUAAGU